CCGCGGAUUGACAAAACUUCGCACUUUCCACGUCGCCACAACCUCCCCGCCAGUCCCCGCCCGGCCCGGCGUUGUUUGCCUCCAGGCAGCCACGCCGUCGCGAAGGCCAUGGCGACCGCGCCUCGGUGGUCGCACCCCGUGCCGCCGCCAGGCUUCGCGGCGGCGCCCCGGAUCAUCACGGUGGCGCUUCUGGCCGUGUCAGCGUUAUUGUCCCGGUCACCGGUGCCGACGGUCGCGGCGGAGCUCGUCAAGCUGACCCUCCUCGCAAACGCCCGGGAGAAGGGCGCGGUCUGCUUGGAUGGCAGCCCGCCGGCGUACCAGCUCCGGAGAGGCUUCGGCUCCGGAUCACGCAGCUGGCUCGUCAAUCUUGAGGGAGGAGCAUGGUGCAACACCACAGAGGAUUGCUCCAGCCGCAGACUGACCGACCUUGGGUGCCGUUUGGUUCCCAAAAUGUAACGUAAAUGAUUUCUACAACUGGAAUAUAGUUGACGUGAGGUACUGUGACGGAGGAUCAUUUGCCGGGGACGGGGAGGGCGAAGAUCGGAACGGAACCAAGCUUUUCUACAGAGGAUUGCGCAUCUGGGAAGCAGUCGUCGACGAGCUCAUGGCAAAAGGGAUGGACACUGCAGAACAGGCCUUGCUGGUAGGUUGCUCUGCUGGUGGUCUCGCUGCACUGCUGCACUGCGACAGUUUUCGUGCGCGCUACCCUCCGGAGAUCCCAGUAAAAUACCUUUCGGAUGCCGGGUUCUUUCUUGAUGUGUAUGGCCCUAGGCAUCCUUUGGCUGGAUGCUAUGUGUUUCUUAAUUAAAAAGACCUUUAGGAAGUAGUAUUUACCUGAAUUAAGUACCAGGUCUCUUUUUGCCACAGAAAAGAUUUUUCAGGCGAAAGGUUCAUACGGUCCAUCUUCAGUGGAGUUGUUCACCUUCAGGCUUGAAUAAAUUAAUGUGCGAAAAGUUUUGCCCAAGGACUGCCUUGCAAAGAAGGAACCGGCAGAGUGCUUGUUUCCACCAGAGCUUAUCAAGAGCAUCAGCACCCCCACAUUCAUUCGGAACUCCGGCUACGAUUCGUAUCAGGUAGGAAAUAUCCUGGCGCCGGGAGGAUCUGAUCCAGGACAAUCAUGGGCCAGAUGCAAAGCUGAUGUCCGAAAUUGUACUUCCACACAGAUUGAGGCACUGAAUGGGUUCCGGAGGGAACUUGUUGAGGAUUUGAAGGUUGCUCAACACAAGAGGGGCUGGGGGCUGUUCAUCGAUUCAUGCUUCAACCACUGCCAAACGCCAUUCGGGGCCACCUGGCAUUCGCCCAUCUCCCUGAGACUCGGUAACAAGACGAUCGCUGAAGCUGUUGCGGAUUGGUACGUUGGUGAGAACCAUGGAGUGGAGGAGAUUGACUGCGCGUUUCCAUGCAUCAACCCCACAUGCAGCAGCCAGCUCGAUCUGUAAACAAGUGGAGUUUUGCUCUUCGCAACUGCAAACCAGAAACGAAUCGAAUGGCCUGUAAUAAGUGGAGUCUUCUGUCUUCCUCCCACAGAGUCUUCCUGUGUGCUGUGGCAUGCAGUAGUGCCGGUCCUGAUAUUUUAGAGGUCUGGAGCAAAAUUUAUAAUGGAGGUCCUUGAUAAUAUU